rnacentral:rRNA from 1 species
GUGCCAGCCGCCGCGGUAAUACCGGCAGCCCGAGUGAUGGCCGAUCUUAUUGGGCCUAAAGCGUCCGUAGCUGGCCGCGCAAGUCCAUCGGAAAAUCCACCCGCCCAACGGGUGGGCGUCCGGUGGAAACUGCGUGGCUUGGGACCGGAAGGCGCGACGGGUACGUCCGGGGUAGGAGUGAAAUCCCGUAAUCCUGGACGGACCGCCGGUGGCGAAAGCGCCUCGGAAGGACGGACCCGACGGUGAGGGACGAAAGCUGGGGUCUCGAACCGGAUUAGAAACCCUGGUAGUCC